CUGACGGCAGCACACACAGCUGCUAAACUGGAGAGGCGUAGAUGUAGAACUUCGGUCAGCCCUCUGUUGGCCCGCGUGAGGACGUAAAUCACUGACGAAUUCCCUGCAGUUGGGACCAUUCUUUCAAACGUGCACAUCAACAAAGAUCUCACAUCUCGGGAGGAGGGCAGAGCGGAGACGGAGGAGUCUUGAGGGUGAGAGCUGGGAAGGAGGUUGAGGCUACCUCGGAUGACACAGACUACGCUUGAGGGAAGGGUGUGCACCUAAGUCCUUCAGGGAUUUCAGUCAACCACAGGGGCAGCCAGGCUAAAAUGGCUGUCAUGGCAGGAGCACGGUGCAGGACAGCUGUUCACAUUCUAACAGACCAGGAAGAAGAAUAGUGUCAUCUUCAAAGGCUUGCACGGGCGACAUCACCCUACUGGAGGACCCACCCCUUCAGGGCACAACUGGAGAUCUGGGAGCUCAACCAGACUUAAGCCCGUGGGGCCAUCGCAGAUCCAAAGCCUGGAGUGAACACAAAAGGAGGCAGAGGCCAGCGCAGAGCAAAGGCUGAGAUGAAAACCUUUCUGGUUUGCUAAUGAGACGGGACAUGCUGAUGGGGGAUGUCCUACAUGCUGUGAACAUGGGUUUCUCUGAUUGGUUGAUGAAUAAGUGCUCGUUGGCCAGUAGCCAGGUUGGAAGGAUAGGCAGGGCUACAACUCUAGAAGAAUUCUGGGAAUAGGAAGGCAGAGAUGUCAUGUAGCUAUUGGGAAGAUGGGACACCGGGCAUUCUCCAGUAAAAUAAGGCCAUGCCAAAAUAUAUAGGUUAAUAGUUAUGGAUUAAUAAUUAAAGACAGAGCUAGCCAAUAAGAAGCCGGAGCCAUUGGCCAAACAGUUUAUAAUUGA